AAGAUCUUGGCGGAUCCCUGCCCCUGCUGUAUUCUUCCUCGCCCCUCAGACCUCCACACUGCCCUGACCCUUCCCUGUCUCUCUUCCGUCACCCAGGCCACGGUGAGAGGGGGCCGCCCAGCCAGAGACCAGUGGACGAGCACACACACACACACACACACACACAUCAUCCCAGCAAGGAGCAACAGGCACCUACUCACCAAAGAACAAGUUGGCAUUGUCUGCAGUGAGCCACAGAGUCAGUUGGAAGCGUGAUGUAAGAUUCUCCACCUCAACCUUUAUCUUGAUGAAGGGCUUGACCUCGGCAGCAAGGAACUGUGGUGCUGUCCCCUGUGGUUGCUCCUUACCAUCCCCUUCCAUUGGUUGUGCUGGUAAAUAAUUGAACACCCUUGGCCUGGCAACUUCCCUGAUGAUCUCAACCUAACAGAAAACAUCUGGGAAAAGACCAAGUCCAGGUUGCAGAACUAUGUCUCCUCAGUACUGAAGCUCAAGGAUGCCAUCCAGCAGCUGUGGGACUCCAUGCCUCAAACAUAAUGAUGGAAACUGUAAGGAACCUUACAGACUCCCUCCCAUACAGUUUCUUAGAAGUCAUUAAGUGCAAAGGAUAUCCCAGAAGUCAUUAAGUGCAAAGGAUAUCCCAUAAGUAGAAGUUACAUCAAUUGUCACUGACAGUAGAACCAGCAUUGGUGAAUACCUAUAAGCAAGUCAACCCAUAAGCAAGUAGUGUUGACAAGCUCCAGGCAGAAGCAUCAAAGCUGCCAUGAUAUCAUAUUUGUCCAGAAAGGAAGGCAUCUGGUAACCAAGUCACCUCUACACCAGCAGUCCUCCCCGGCAAUGACUCUGAUGUCUGUGAUGGCAGCCUCAACACGGUGGACCUCUCCAACCUUUCCCUGGAAGUAGAAGGUCUCCAGGCUGGACUCCUUUGCCUCCCCCACCACCUCUGGAUGCACCACACAUAAAGAGGAACAAAACACAUUAUGAAAGGAGGAAAAUUAUAGCCACUAGAGUUCCAAUUCACUUUAUAGUUAUCAUGCAAUCAAUAUGGAACAAUAUGAAGCAAUAUUAUAAAUGUUAACACUAAAAUCAGCACUUGAAGUGUAAGUAAGAAGCUUAUGUUGUGCAUAAAACUUGUAAUGAGUGACAUCACACACAUGACAAGUAUAUAAUAUGGAAAUCAAAAACAUUUUAGAAAUGACUGCCAGUAAUGAUCAGGAUUCAAUGCUCACCUGUGUGAAACUUUAGUGUGGUUGUCUGGAGUGCAGCAGGCACAGGCAUAUCUGCACUACCAGCCUGGAGUGGAAAAGUAGUGUGCUUUUUUAUUUCAUUCAUUUACAUUCACUUUAACUAACAUGAUUAAAUGUAUUUCUGACAGUGCCACACAGCCAUCAGCCAAAUGGGUAAAAUUUAAUGGGGAUGACUGAAGUGUAUUUUCACAGAAGCACAUGUCCCUGUGGAUUUGUCUGUUUAUCCUCAAUUUAGUCAUAUCAAUCAUAAAAUCCUUAAUUUAGUCAUGUCGAUCAUGAAAUGAGAACAAAAUAAACAAUAUGAGAGCUUAGCUAAAGUGACAAUGGAAAGGAGAGAUUGCUUUAUUAAAAAUUCAUAUUAUAACUGUACACAGGUAAUACUUUCAUUAUGAAGAGUUGAGCACUUACCUGAUAACACUGUGGUGUAUUUUUCAUUGUUUAAUAUGUUUAAUAUUUUGACAUGUAGCUUACUAUUGUAUCUCUUCGUCAUUGUAUUCUCACUCACUCAUGCAAUAUAUGUGUAUGCACAGGA